rnacentral:antisense_RNA from 1 species
UUUGCAAAAGGGUCCUGGGGGUCAAUGUGGUCUCGAUUGCUCAACUCUUCAUUAAACUACAGGUUUAUAGGUUAUUUGAUAAUAAGUCCAGAAUGCAGCUGCUGUAGGAGCUUCUAAUGCACUUUUCUAUUACUUCCAGAACACUGUGUAUAAUAAUAAACUCUACAGAAAUAAACCAAAUCACAAGAAGCUUUCAGGUCUGGAGGCUGACAUUUCUCAAGACAGAUGAAGAACCUGAGACUCACCUUGCUUAAGUGACUUGAGCAGCUUCAUGCAUCUUGUAAGUAGUAGAGACAGAGUCAAAACCAGAUCUUCCUGCCCUCUCUAGCAUAUAAACCACUUACACUGAAAUACAAAGUGGACCUGAUCUGUGGUGAAUUGUACUAAUGUUCUGCUUCCGCCAUGGGCACCAGGGGAUAUACCUUUCUUUGUUGACCCUAAUCUCAAAGGCUAAAUUAGAUCCCCCAAACUCAUUUCCAUUAAUAACAUAUCAAAGACUUGUGUCAUGCAUUAAUUUAUCCAAAGUGAUCUUGAUUCUAUUUACAUUUUGGUGCCACCUUUUAAUGUUACCAUUUUUAUAAAUUAAAUAAUAGAUAAAGCUAGUCUUCACUUACUGAUAUGUUAAUUUUUAACCCAAACUUCUUAGUCUGACAUUCCAGCAAUACUGGAGCAUUAACAGUUGAUAAUAGCUCUAUGUGCUACCUCUCCAAGAAACAAAUUUGCAUUUUAACCUGCACCUUCAAUGGCUGAACUUCAAAGGGUCACUGAUGAAUGCCACAGCCAGUUGGUGGGAAUAUAAUUCUUUUUAUGGAUAAUAUUUGUGUGUGUGUGUGUGUGUGUGUGUGUGUGUUAAAUCCUACCACAUAAGUCACUAACCUAUAGGUAAGGCCAGUCUUGACCUAAAAUGAGGAAUUCUGUAAAAUUUCAAAUGCAAAUCACAUUUUGUUUUUGAUGUUAGAGAAAACUGCAAAUUAGAACAGCAGAGCUGUGCCUCUGGCCAUUUCCUGGAACUACAGAGGAGCAACUUGCCCCUGGUUUCCAGUGGGUGAUGUUCCUCUUCUGCCACAGCCCCCAGCGAUGUUGAUGUGAUUGCCAUCAGAGCUCAGAAGCACAGAGCAGAAUCAUCCCCUGGAGGAGGAUUCCCUUCAGUGUAAGAAGUUCUUACAGAAUUAAUCCAUAAAGACUGUGGGUGGACUCUGCCAGGUUUUUCCCUGGGUGUACCAGAAGAGAGGAAGAGCCCUCAAAUACAGGAAAGUGCUCUUUUCAGUGACAGUAGUUCUUUUGGGCCCUGUGGCUAAGUGUGCUCCCACCCCAGCAGUAAGAUCACAGCUAAUCCUGAGAGGCAAGAGUUCACAACAGGCUACUGAAAGAAAAAGUGUCCUUUGUGGAUUGCAAGAGGAACUGGGACACACUGCUGGAAAUGAAGUGGCAGGUCAUAAACUAUCAUAAACUCAGGAGGAGAGGUGUUCCUUUUUGAGACACUCAUCACAACUAGAGAGAAUGCAGCUAAGAAAUUGCAGUCUUUAGGGGGACCUGGACUCUUGAGGUAUUUGAGCUAUUUGGAGGAAAUAGAAACUUGGAAGAGAUCUUUGUUCCACUAUUAUUUGGCAGCCCCUUACCCGCAGCUGCCAUUACUCCAGAUUCUCUCUGAUGAUCCUGCAUCAGGAGAAUGAGUUGACUGGACACCACUGGGAAAUGUGGGCAGCUCCAGGCUGAACUAGCGAAGGGGCAUGUCAAAGGUCACUUAUUUGUGGCUUGACCCUUUGGAGGCCAGAUGUAAGAAUCAAUUUCUCAAAGGUCCCAUGCUAACGCUUUUCAUAUUUAUUUCCAUCUGAGACUCGCUUAGGCUAGGCAAAUAUCCCAUGGGUCUGUACCUCUCCAGUGCUUUCUUGCUCAUGUAAAAUAAGCUCAUUGGAAUGAGUAAAGGGAAUGGUAUUACUUUGGCUCGAACACU